AGCUUUGCGCAGUGGCAGUAUCGUAGCCAAUGAGGUUGAUCUGAGGCGCGAUUAUUGCUAAUUGAAAACUUUUCCCAGUGAAGUGAGAAGUUACAAAAUAACCCACCGAAUCUAAACUUUGCAAAAUAUCAGGCUUUUAGAAU
ensembl:snRNA U4 spliceosomal RNA